rnacentral:pre_miRNA from 1 species
UUGCGGGGAAUCACAUCAUGUGUUCAUUCACCUGGUACAUGGUGGGACUUCCCCGUAAUC